UACGUAGGGUGCGAGCGUUGUCCGGAAUUAUUGGGCGUAAAGAGCUCGUAGGCGGUGUGUCACGUCGGCCGUGAAAACCUGCAGCUUAACUGUGGGCGUGCGGUCGAUACGGGCAUCACUGGAGUUCGGCAGGGGAGACUGGAAUUCCUGGUGUAGCGGUGAAAUGCGCAGAUAUCAGGAGGAACACCGGUGGCGAAGGCGGGUCUCUGGGCCGAUACUGACGCUGAGGAGCGAAAACGUGGGGAGCAAACAGG
rnacentral:rRNA from 1 species